AGUGGUGUGUGGUGUCGUGGUGUUGUAGACAUGAAACUGUGAGGUGCUGCGUGUUGAUGAGUAGUGUGGCAGUGCGGUAGUGUUGAUGGGGUGAUAGACUGUGGCAGCUUGUUUACGAUACACCGCAGGCGUGCCUAGAUGUUGUGGUCCAUCCAGAACCACCCCACCCCAACCCUCCCCCAGUUGAGACAACAGUCUCCUGAAACGUCCUGUUGUGGGGUAGCACGAGGGAAGCUGUCACCAAAUUCGCCCGUGGUUUCCUGCUAGCAUUUGUACCAGGAACUUUGGGAAUGCAGUAACCUCUGGAAAGAUCGCGUCUUCGGGAUACCAUAUCCGUUCGCUGACCACGAUACCUAUCUAUGUCUGUGAGCUUGUCUGUCUUCCGAGUCCACUCUUCAUACCCCUCAAAGAGACAGAGGAAGCUGGUUGGUCUGCAGCUGAAGAGUUAGGUGGAAGGGGACGAGGAGGACCAAGAGUGGACCCCGAUCGUUCCGGCCAUGACUCUGGUCUCCCCCAAGGAGUCGCCCCAUGCCGUGGUGCUGCCCCAGGCCCACGCCUUCUCCAUCACACAGCACCAGCAACAGCAGUAGUAGCAGCACUUUCUACAGCAGCAGGAGCAGUAAAGCAUCAGGACUGUCUUUGGUCUUUGUGAUCAUGCCUUCACCAAUUCGUCUCCCAGUCGCAUCUCCAGGGACAGGAAGGGCAUAGACCGGGGCCUCUUCCCCACUUACUUCCUGCAUGUGGAGCGAGACGACGGAAAAAAAAGAUGUUCCUCCUCGCUGGACGAAAACGAAAGAAGUCAGCAACCUCAAGCUAUCUGAUUUCUGCUGACCCAACUGAUUAGGCCCGAGGUGGUGAGUCUCUAUGGGAAGCUGAGGUCGAAUCUCCUGGGGACGCAGUUCACCAUAUAUGAUGGAGGUGAAGGUCGCAAGAAGACACUGUCCUCAUCCACUACCACUGACAAGCAAAGCUUGUGUGCUGUGAUCUAUGUAAACAGUGGUUGAGCCUGGAUUGUGGGUGUCCUGUAUUCAGGGGCUGGUUUUUCAUCAUCAGCUGAAGCAGCAACUGCAUGACAAAAGCCUUU